rnacentral:ncRNA from 1 species
AAUUUAUAAAAAAUUAUUUUUAAAUACAAAAACUAUUUAUUUAUUAAAAUUAUAAAAUUUAUUUUUAAAUAUUUAUUGUAUUAUUAAUAUAUAUAUAUAUAAUUUUUAAAGUUAUUUAUUUAAUAUUUUAUUUUAUAAAUUAAAGAAAUUUAAUUUUAGUAAUUAAAAAUUAUUAAUAAAAAUUGUGCCAGCAAUUGCGGUUAAACAAUUAAUAAUAUAAAUAAUUUUAUUAUUAAUUAAUUUAUUAAAAAUAAAUUUAUUAAAUUUUUAAUAUAUAAGUAAAAUUUUUAUUAUUUAUUAAAUAUUAAAAUUAAAUUUUAAAUUAAUUUAUUAAAUAUUUUAAUAAACUAGGAUUAGAUACCCUAUUAUAAAUUAUAAAUUUAUAUUAAUAAAAAAUUAAAAGUUUAUAGUCUUAAAAUUUAAUAAAGUUGGCUGUAUUUUAAUUUAUUUAGAGGAACUUGUUGUUUAAUUUGAUUUACCACGAUUAUUUUUACCUUAUUUAUUUAAUUUAUAUAUCGUUGUUAUAAAAAUAUAGUUAAAAUUUAAUAUUUUUUAUUUUUUAUAAAAAAUUAUUUCAAAUCAAGAUAUAGUUUAUAAUAAGGGAUUUUUAAUGAGUUAUAUAAAUAUAUUUAUGGAUAUUUAAUUUAAAAUAUUAAAUUAAAAUUAGAUUUAAAAGUAAUUUAUAAUUUAUUUAAUUAAAAUGAUUUAAUUUUAAAAUAAGUACAUAUUGCCCGUCACUUUCAUUGUUUGAAAUAAGUCGUAACAAAGUAAAAGUAUUGGAAAAUGUUUUUAGAAU